AGUAAAAUGGCUGAGGUUAGGCGAUAAAUUGUAAAUUUAUUUACGGAGAUUAAUCUUCUUUUACUA
rnacentral:tRNA from 1 species